rnacentral:lncRNA from 1 species
GGGGCACGAACUACGAGAUUCGCGGCCGUCACACCCCUACCGACAUACCUAUCUGAUCUAGGUUAAGCGUGGUGCUCACGGGAAGCUCCACCUACGCCUAACCCAUCUUCUCCAUCACCGUCGUCGCUACCACACCGAUGGAGAACGGUGCGAGCUCAUCCGGCUCAGGACAAGGUAAAGUCACGGGUUUUGUACCGGAUCUAUCUAUGCCUAGUAGAUCCACAUUCUAUCAAUGGUAUCAUGAGCCACUGGGCAUAAGAUUUAUUCGGUUGAAUGAAAUCGAAAAGAAGUUUGUCCCCACCCCGACAUGAACCCUAGAUGGGCAAGGUACCGAAGAUGGCAUCGGGCCUCGUCGGCAAAGAAGCGCCGCCGCAAGGCAGCGCCUGUUCCUCUCGAUCCCCACACGCAUCGGCAAGCCGAGAUGUGGGGAAUAAGAACCUACCUCCUCGGAGGAAAAGUAUGGAUCUAGAACCAACAGGAAAACGAAGAAAAGGAUUCAGAUCGGAUCCAACACAGGAGAAAAAAAAGGACGGGAACAUGCAAAGUAAAGUAUCAGCCCUUCGGGGCAAAGGGCACCACCACCGCACCCUUGACGGUGGUGCGUUCACCAUGAAGGUGCUCGCACGCGCCGGCAAAGGAACAGCGGCGGAGCCAACAAGUCAUGUCGCUACGGAAUGAAAGGAAAAAAGGGCAUCACGGUCAACCCACUCGACGGUGAUGCGCUACCGCAAGGGAACGCGCCAUCGGCGAAAGGGGAGGCCACGGUGCUCUGUUUCUCUCUCUCUCUCUCUCUCUCUCUCUCAGAAACAAGACAAGGCGCCAGCAGGGAUAGGGCGCGGCGCGGCGCGGGACCCAUGGUCUCCGCUGUCGGCGGCCAAACCCACCUCGCAGGCCAAAAGACACGCCACCGCAGCAGGAAGGCGCGCGCGACGCGGGGCCCUCGGCCGCCACUGCCGGCGGCCACCUCCCACACCCUCUGGCGGGGCAUCUAGCCACCGCGCGCAAGAGGGAGGAGGGUAGAGAGCGACGGCGCGCUGCGCUUGGCGGGGCUCGAGGGCCGCUGCGCGAGGCAGUGGCUCGGCCACCACAGGCAGCGCACGGCGCGGGACCUUUCGGUCGCCGCUGCAGCCGGUAAGAGCCACGGCUCCGCGUUGCACAGGAAGGCCACCCGCGGGAGCGCCUCGCUCGACGAGAGGAACGAGAGAAUGAGCGGCGUUGGGGAGAAAUGUUUUAGGGUUUCCCAGACCGGCUCGGGCUGCUCCCUUUUAUUCGAUCCAAACCCCACGGGGAGCCGUUGGAUGCAAUCGGCGGCCAGGAUCCCGUGAGGCUGAAACCCUAGGCCAGGGCGGGCCUUCAGGCCGCAAGUGAGAGGCCGGCCCAGGACGCCAGGAGGGGCGCGAGCGCCUGGCCGCUAGGUCCGUUCGGCCGCUCGGGGCAGUGGGCCUCAGGCCGGCGGGAGGUGUCAAGGCGCGUGGUGGCGGGCCGAGGCCAUAGGCCGGCCCAGCCGGCCAUUUAUUUAUUUUAAAGGUUUUUUCUAUUUCUCUCUAUUAAGGCAGAUUCAAAGGUUUUUUUCUAGGGAUUUUUUCCUACGAAAACAUGAUUAGAAAAAGGAAAAGAAAAUGUUCAAAGUUUCUGUCAAUUUACACAGAAUUGUAAUAUUAUUUUUCUGAAAAGAAAAGUAAAAGGGUUUCUGGAAAUAAAAUAGUUUUUCAGAAAAAGAAAGUUCAUGAUCUUUAUAAAAGCAUUAAGAAAGUUCACGAAAUUUAUUUUAAAUGACAGAAUUAUUUUCUGUAAAGUUAAAAGGUCUAUGAAAUUUUAUUUCACGUUUUCCGCUGCUAAACGAAAUAUGAAAUAUGGUCAUGUUAUUAUUCUGACCAACGUUGUUUAGUCAUGUUAUUAUUCUGACCAACGUUUUCCGCUGCUAAACGAAAUAUGAAAUAUGAAAUUUUAUUUCACGUUUUCCGCUGCUAAACGAAAUAUGAAAUAUGGUCAUGUUAUUAUUCUGAUCAUGUUGCAUAUUGCAAAAGAUGCAUUUAUUUCUAUCAUUUGCCCAAUGGUAAUGUAGAUUAAUUUGCAUAGGCAAUUGUAUGAUUAUUUUAACCAACAUUAUUUAAUGCAUAUAAUUAUCGUACUGACUUCGCUUAUGUGGUGAUUUCAGGAGGUUUUCACCUGAUGAGUUGCCUCAAGGACGUUCUUACACUUAGAGGGGAUAAUUAUUCUGAAUGGAGGAAGAAGGUUGACAUGGCUUUGUGCAUUGUUGAGGUGGACUGGGUUCUAGAGGAACCACAGCCAGUUGCACCUGCAGAACCAGUCAGAGAUGUUGACGACGAUGAGGAGAGCUGGGAGAAAAAGCAAUGAGAUUGUGGCAAAGAGGAGAUGUCCUACUCCAUAAGUAACAUGUUAUAGAUAAAUGCCAACAAGAAAUAUUUGGCGUUUAUUAAGAACACCAUUGAGACCACCAUCGUGGGCUCGAUAGCAGAGUGCCCUACUGCAAAGGAGAUGCUUAACAAGAUAAAGAGUCAGUUUACUCGCUCUUCUAAGACCUAUGUGUAACGACUAAGAUGCGGUCCUUUUCGAUCUGGGAAUCGAGACCCCGAAUUGGAAAGAAGCGCAUCUAAGCUUUUCGCAAACAUGGUAACAUAGCACAUACAUAAAUAAUAGAGGAAUGACAAUAAGGGAUUCAAUUGCCAUCUCAUUAAUAUAUCAGAGUUACAUCAUGCAUCCAAACAAGGUAGUUCCGCUACGGACUACAAAACAAGGGAAAUGACUAUGCUACCCUGGAUGCUGGCCCACGAUCACGACCACGCCUCAAUCUUAUGGAUAGUUCACGUACAGGCGGUCGUUCUCCUCGUCGUACUGCCACGCCAGCUGCGUUCCGUCAGGAUCACCUGUCUCGGGGGUACCUGAACCUGUUGGUGUUGUGAAGGAAUCUGUGAGCCACGGGGACUCAAAAAUCUAUGACCUCGGUGCCAGAACUAGUCAAGUUAUUAGGUUGGAUAGGUGGAGUAUUUAGGUUGCAGCAUCCUAAGCUUAACAUGGUGGCUAACUUACGUAGAACUCAUAUCAAGGUGGUCUAUACUAGCGGUCGAUGGUAUCUGAUCACUAAGUGAUACUGAACACCUACCUAUGUCAAUCAUAACCCCAUCGUGUUCCCGAUCGAAGAGAGAUCUUCGAAGGGGACAGUCACGGUUACGCACACAGUUGACAAUUUUAUUAGCUGAUGUUUAAGUUAUCUAAUACCGGAUGUUAACAAAAUAUUCCAAGUUGCCACAUAACUGCGGGCACGGCUUUCCGGUAGAUUAAACCAUGCAGGGGCCACGGACAUCGCUCAGGUGGGACGAACACCCAUGAGGAGCACUGGCCCGGGUUGUUGAUUAAAUUCCUCGGGGUAGCUAUUCCCUAUGCAGAUUAUUAUUAAGUGAUUAGCAGAUUAAAACCAAUGUUGGGUCCUGCCGGACAAGUCUUAACACUAUGCGAUUUAUCGAGGGGGUCCCCAUAACAACCCCGAACGUGUUAGGAGCGAUCAUUAUGGAAUCAAACAUCGGUAGCCGGUAACUAUGGUGGCAAUAACGGAACAAAGCACCCGGCAAAAGGCUAGGCCUUCCGUUAUUUACCAAGUAUAUAGGUGCAUUAAUUAAAUAACAGAAUUAACAUAAUGAUAUCAAACUCAUGUUAUCACAUGAGACAAGCACCUGCAUCUAGCAACGCUAACAUUAGUAGUUGAGCAAGCCUACUUAGCCAUUCAAGAUUUGCUAGGAAGGGAUAAGUGUUUGGGUUUCAUGGCAAUUCAGGAGGCAAUAUUUCAGUGGUAGGCAGCUAGCAUAUGAUGGAAGAAACGUAAACUAGCAUAACAAGUCUAGAUAUGGAAUAAAGGUCAUAUCAUCUUGCCUGUGAUAUCCUCAGCUUGGAACAGUUCUUGAUCGUCAUGCACGUACUCUCCCGAAUCCACGUACUCGUUCUCUGGUCCCGGUGCUACCCAACAUAAUAAUAACAUCCAAUGAACAACAGCACCUCAAGAUGCAACACGCACAUGAUGCAUGAGAUGAAUAUGAGCAUGCAUCACUAUUUCUAUCACUAGCACAAGCAUGAGAAGUAAAUACAUGUUCCUGGACAGAACUGCAUCCUAAUUUAUCUUGACAUGCAUGAUAAUGACAUGAUCAUAUGUGUCUCAUGAAAACGAUGCAAAACCAUAUAAAGAACAUUACAAACGGAGCUACGGAUCAAGGGGAAACAACGAAACAAGAUAUGAAGCCCUACGUGUCAAAUUCAUCACCACACACUCCAAUGGCUCAACUCUGGUAUUUCCAGGUAGCCAAGACAUAAAACAAACCAACAUGGAUGGGGUGGAGCAAAGAAGAACACCACAUCAUCAACUAUGCGCUCACAAUCAUCAAAACAUCAAAACUACACAAUCUGCCAUAAAUUGCAUCAUAGCACUUUGGGGGCUACAUGCAAAGCACCUACAGACACCUAAACAUGCCAAAUAAGAUAUGUGGUUGUAGCUAUACAACAGUACUACAAGCACAAGCAAGAAUAUCACACAAAGGGGUUAAACACAGAAAGUUACACAACUGUAAACUUGCCCAAAAAUAUCAAAUUUCAGGGACUUAGUGAAAAUUCCAGAUUCUCACUAUCUGUUUAUGCUCUGAAGCAUUUUGACAGCAGCCAAAACAAUAUCUACAGGACUCCAAAUCGAAUGAACAUUUACAGGGAGCUAGACAAACAUAUAAGCUUCAACUUUCCAGUUGAAAGAUAAGGCUGAAACACAACACAUUGACCUGCACAACCUCAUCAAUAGGAGAAGAAAAUAUAAACAGAUUCUCAGACUUAGUGAAAAUCUCAGAUUUUCACUAAUUUGGAAUUUCAGCCACAUGUCUAUUUUGUUUGGGCACAACUUGCACACAUGACUUCCUAAGCAUGAAACAAAAGCAACAAGUGGUAGAGGGGGUCACCCUCUAGUGCCACAACAAGGAGUCAACCUAUUGUGCACACCUCAACAUCAUGAGACCAAGCUCCAAACAUAGAACAAAUCUGAAAUAUGUCAUUUCCAGGAAGUGUUCCAAUGGCAAAACUGAUCUCACCAAUGGAUUCCUGGGAUGAUUCUACCCCAAAACCAUAUAUAAAACAUAUGCACUUGCUUGGAACAAGUGGGCACAAACUAGGAAAGAAAAACUACAUAGAAUCCUAUAUAGUGAAUAGUGUUGCAUCACAUGUGCAAAAAUCACUAGAGAAAACCUACACAAGCUCUUGCACAUGAUCACAACAUCAAUGGGGGUACAUGAGGGGUAGACCUCAUGCCUUUGUGCCUAGGCACAUCACCACACCAUCACAAGCAACAAGCACAACCUAAUAAUAUCACCUACACAUGAAAUCUUGUACAUAUGCCCAUCAAGGCCUAGCUUGCCAUGAUGUGUGUGUGGAUAUACUCACAUGAGCACCCACACACGCACAUAGGACUUAGCAAAACUAUAUAUACAUGCUCUCAAACAACAAUGCACUCACACAUGAAAUACUACAAACUCUCCUACACAUGAUAUAGCUACCUAUGCACCCUAGUGCAACACACACACAUGCACAAGACUUGAGCCACAUGCAUAUGCUUGCAAGCAACCUACACCAACAUAUAUACAAGGUGUGUGGAAGGGAAAAAGCCUUCACACACACACACAACCUACACUAUGCCUUCUACCAAGUAUCCUUACACACACACACAAGUGCAACAACAUGGGUUCACAAAGCUAGCAACACACAUAACACCCAUGCUGGUUUUGAGAGGAGGUAAAUAAAACCCUCAUGUGCAAAAUCACUACAAAGCUACACCUACACAUGCCAAGGUGAACAGCACCAGGAAAACAAAGCACGGGAAAAAAAAUAAAAGGUGGGGGAAGGAGGGAUCGAACCCUGUACCCCUCUGGCACUGCCCACAGGUGCAAACCACCCUGCUAGUGCCUUUGUGCUCGACAGAACAGAGCAGCCUAGCAAGUUAAGUUACUCUGCUGAGCUAUACUACUGUGCCGAGGAAAUAAAUCAAAAAGGGUGCCGAGGGGGGAUCGAACCCGCAACCUCCAACAGGCAACAACAGCACACAACCACUACGCUACGCAACGACGUCUGACAGAGAAGGGAUAUCUGCUCUUUUGAGCAUACCCUUCGGGAUCCACUGCUGAUCCACGGCGACCGGAACAGGGGAGCUACCUCGAAGGCGACACGAGCAAAAUCUAGCACCCGCUCGUUGAUGGAAGGACGCCCAUGCAUCCACGGUUCCGUUUCCCUUGUUAGAUCUACUCGAGAAGAACCACAGCCACACCUCUACGAUGCGCGGCGGCGCCGGCGACACGAAGCAGCACGGUGGCGAUUCUACAGCUCCUACACAUGAUCUAAGACAGGGAAGGGGCAAGAGGAGGAUCUGCUCACCCAACGGAAGAAGACAAUGGUCCUGAUCGGAGAGGUAGCAGGGGAAGUAGAGGAGGAAGCCGCGCCGGAGAGGUUCAUUGGAGCGGAAGGGACGUCGUCGAUGUAGGGGAAGAAGGGGUGCUGCCGUCGUCCUAGCUGCGGGAAUGGAUCCCUACGAGAUCCCGCGAGCUCGUCGUCGCCUUGGAGAGGAAGCAGAGCCACAACAUCAACGGCGGCGAGCUCCUUCACGAGUCGGCCAUGGCGGAUGCGCCCUCCUCUUACCUAAGGCCAUCGACAGAGAAGAGAGGGAGAUGGGAAGAAGUGGCUGCGGAGGAAGAGGAACCCUAGCCUUGGCACGGGCGCCAAGGGGGGAUUAAAUAGGGGAAGGAGAGGAGAGGGACGCGGCGCGGCCAUGUGCGUGAGGGGGAGCUUCGGUGGAAAGCAGAGAGGAGCGAGGUGAGUCGCUGACAGUGGGCCCUCGUGCCGAGCUAGAAAGAAGGAAGAAGAGGAACGCUCUGCGGGCUCCUGCGCGAGAGAGAGGAGACAGAUCGGCCAGCCAUGUGAGAGUAAGCCCAUAGUUGGCGCAGGAUAGAGGAAAUAACCCUAUGAGGGUUUUCCAUUAACAGAAAAGGCAGAGAAUAAAAGAAAAGCACAAAGAAAUCUAUAAGUGCUAAAAAUAAAACUAGCACAUACCUGGACAUGAUAAAUCAAGACCUAUUUAAUAAAAAUAGAAACAAGAGUUUAGGAGCAAGUAAAUAUUUUACAAAACAGAAUAAUAGGAUCUGUUUUGUAAUCCCUUGCACCAUCUACAACACCUUUUCAAAUCAACAAAUCACACUUCCAAUCACCACAAAACAAGGCUAGCACUUGGGCAUUUUUAAAUCAGGGUAGGCAAGUGAAUAUUGAGCUUGGAACAAAAGGGAGAGGGAAGGGGUUUUAAAACCUAAGCAAAUCACAAGGUAGAUUCUACUAACACAUGCAUACUCCACACAAUCUUCACAUCUCACAUCACCACAUAAGAUCACAAGCAUCACAUGAGAUCACAUGACUCAAAGCUACAACACCUGACACAUGAAAUGAUAUGAUAUGGCAUGCAUGCAUGCAAGGAAGAAUAACAAGUGACACCACAUGAAAUCAUAGCAUAGAUAGCUCUCAUGUCCAUGACAAAGUGGACCCACAUAAGAAGGUUCCAAAAGGGGAAGGUUACACACUUGGGGCAUUACACUAUGCCACCCAGUUGAUCAAACAACUGGUGACAGAGAGCUACAAUGGAGGUGGCCAUGGCAUAAGGGAGCACAUCCUUAGGAUGAGCAACACGGCAGCCAAGCUUAAGCCCAUGGAUGCGGAUCUGGAGAUUAAGCCAGCUCUUCUCGUCCAUCUGGUCAUGGAUUCACUGUCUAAGGAGUUCGAGACCUUUGUAGUUAACUACAACAUGCAGCACGAGACAUGGGAUAUUGAAAAGGUCAUCGCAGUGUGCUCACAAGAAGAGGAGAGGAUUAAGGUUUCACAUGGUGGCUUCCUUAACUAUGUGAAGGAAAAGAAAAAGGUUUUCCCACCUAAGCAGAAUUCUCCCUCAAGGCCACAGGGCAAGCUCCAAGGCAAGGCUCCCGCUUAUUAUUAGCCAAAGCCAAUCACAGUAGAUGAAGACACUUGUAUCUAGUGCAAGGAGAAAGGGAACUACAAGAAGGAUUGUGUUGUCUGGCUAAAGGUCUUCAUGGCAAAGAGAGGUAACUAUAUUGUUUCCUUAGUAAAUGAAUCUUUGUAUGUAAAGUUUUCAAAAUACAUUUGGUGGAUUGACUCAGGUGCAACUGUUUAUGUUGCAAACUCUUUACAAGGGUUCAGUUCGACGAGGACCAUGUGCCAAAAUGAAAGAAGUAUUGAAGUCGCAAAUGGUGUCCAAGCAGAAGUUGAAGCUGUAGGUGACGUCUCCUUGGAGCUAACCGAAGGAUUCAUGCUUUUGCUUAGAGAUGUUAUUUUUGUGCCUUCAUGUAAUAGGAAUUUAAUAAGUGUGUCAUGCUUAGACAAAGACAAUUAUCAAUGUGUGUUUGGACAUGGUAAAUGUACUGUUUGGUACAAUAAUGAUUAUGUAGGCAAUCCCUUUCUUCAUGAUGAGCUUUAUUUGUUAUCAAUUCGUGACAAAGUGAAUUAUGCAAAUACUGUGAAUGUGCAAAGUUCUUCAUCGAACAACGAGCAAAAGAAAAGAAAGAGAACUCACGACUCCUCGAGACUAUGGCACUGUCGAUUGGGCCAUAUUUCCAGGGGGGAAUAGAAAGAUUAAUCAAAAGCGAAAUUCUUCCAAAGUUGGAGUUCUCUGACUUAGAACAAUGCGUAGAUUGCAUUAAAGGAAAAUAUGUAAAACAGAUAAAGAAAGGUGCAAAUCGAAGCACAGGAACACUAGAGAUAAUCCACACUGAUAUUUGUGGACCGUUUCCGGUGAAAAGUGUGGAUGGUUAUGAUUCAUUCAUAACAUUCACAGGCGAUUACUCCCGCUUCGGUUACAUUUAUCCAAUCAAAGAAAGAAAUGAGGCAUUGGAUAAAUUCAAGAUAUUCAAAGCUGAAGUUGAAAAUCAGCUUGACAAAAAGAUUAAGAUUGCGAGGUUCGACCAUGAGGGGGGAGUACUACGGUCGACACACACCAUAUGGCCAAGUCCCUGGACCUUUUGCAAAGUUCUUGCAGGAGACUGGCAUUGUCGCCCAUUAUUCAAUGCUGGGCGAGCCUCAGCAAAAUGGAGUAGCUGAAAGGCGCAACCGUACCCUCAUGGAUAUGGUGCGCAACAUGAUGAGCUACUCCGACAUGCCAUUGGGAUUGUGGAUGGAGGCGCUUAAAACUGCCAUUCACAUUCUCAACAGAGUACCAAGCAAGUCGGUGCCCAAAACACCGCACAAGCUAUGGACAGGAAGAGUGCCAUCCCUGCAACACUUCAGAGUGUGGGGAUGUCCAGCUCAGGCCAAAAUGUUUAAUCCAAACAUUGGAAAGUUAGAUCCAAAGACAGUGAGUUGCCAUUUCAUUGGCUACCCUGAUAGAUCAAAAGGUUUUUGUUUCUACUGUCCUGACAGAUACACAAAGUUUGUGGAAACGAGACAUGUUGUCUUCUUAGAGGACGAAAUGAUGAGGGGGAGCAUGGUAGCUCGGAAAAUUGAUCUUGGGGAGAAAAGGGUGCAUGCACCCAUUCCGAUGAUUCAAGAGCCAUUUUUCUUGCUACCCGCUGUAACUCCAACGAUGACAACUAUGGGAGAAGACCCGGAACCUGUCCUUCAGGAGCCGACUGAACCCGUUGUUGAUCAUGAAAUGGAAGUGCAACAAGAAAAAGUAGAAAGUGUGCCAGACAACGAGGCACUUAGAAGGUCUAAUAGAACAAGAAGACCUGCUAUUUCUACUGAUUAUAAAGUCUAUAACAUGGAAAUGGUUCAUAUGGAUGGUGAUCCCACCACAUACGAAGAAGCCAUUAAAAUCCCUCACUCAUCAAAAUGGCUAGAGGCAAUGGAAGAUGAGAUGAAAUCGAUGAGUUCCAAUAAUGUUUGGGACUUAGAGAUUAUUCCUAAAGGAGCAAAGACAAUAGGUUGCAAAUGGGUCUACAAAACAAAGUAUGACUCUAAUGGGAAUGUAGAUAAGUAUAAAGCCGGACUUGUGGCAAAAGGAUUCACGCAAAGAGAAGGGAUGUACUACAAUGAGACUUUUUCUCCAGUCUCUUGUAAGAAUUCCUUCAGAAUCAUAAUGGCACUUGUUGCUCAUUUUGAUUCAGAGCUGCAUCAAAUGGAUGUAAAGACGACAUUUCUAAACAGAGAUUUAGAAGAAGAUGUCUACAUGAAACAACCCAAGGGUUUUAUCAUGGAAGGCAAGGAAAAUAUGGGAUGUCGCCUAAAGAAAUCCAUUUAUGGGCUAAGGCAAGCCUCUAGACAGUGGUACAUAAAUUUUAAUGAUACUAUUAAAAGGUUUGGAUUUCAAGAAAACGUUGAGGAUAAUUGCAUUUAUGCAAAGUUUAAAGAUGGGAAAUAUAUUUUCCUAAUCUUGUAUGUGGAUGAUAUCUUGCUUGCAAGCAAUGGUAUUAGUCUACUACAAGAGACAAAGAAGUUUUUAUCCUCGAACUUCGACAUGAAAGACCUUGGUGAUGCAUCAUAUGUUUUGGGCAUUGAAAUUCACUGAGACAGGAAAAAUGGAGUGUUAAGACUUUCACAGAAAGCAUAUGUAGAGAAAGUUCUCCAAAAGUAUAAUAUGCACAAGUGUAAAGCCACGCCUGCUCCAAUAGUCAAGGGCGAUAGUUUUGGGAAUCAUCAAUGUCCCAAGAAUAAGUACGAGCUCGAAGAAAUGAAAACAAUACCGUAUACUUCGGCUGUUGGAAGUUUACAGUAUGCAAAAGUGUGCACACGCCCUGACUUGGCAUUUAUCACCGAGGUACUCGAUAGAUAUCAAGCAAAUCCAGGCCAAGAGCACUAGAAGAUGGCAAAGAAAGCUCUGCGUUAUGUGCAAGGCACAAAAGAGAUCAUGCUAACAUACAGGAGAUCUGAGUCCCUAGAGAUAAAAGGGUACCCAGACGCAAAUUUUGCGGGAGAUAAAGAUGAUAGAAAAUCCACGUCUGGGUACGUGUUCACUCUCGCAGGGGGAGCUAUUUCAUGGAAAAGCUCCAAACAGACCAUAGUUGCAUCGUCCACGAUGCAAGCAGAGUUCAUAGCAUCACUACAGGAAUCGGGCAUUUUGCCGUCAGGACGCUAAAGACAACAAAGAGAGAAUUACAGACGGCAAAUUUUUUGCCGUCAGCCCAUGACAGCAAAAAAUGUCGUCAGACCAUGUGCCCGCAAAGGGUAAUUUUGCCGUCAGCAUUUUUUUGGGCAGACGGCAAAAAAUUUGCCGUCAGUGAAAAUGGUUUGCCGUCAUCUAUUAUGAGGCAUACGGCAAAAAACCUAACAGAACGACCCGGACGGCGUUAACUCUUUGCCGUCAUCCGACCGGAAUGCAAGACGGCAAAGAUUACGGGUUUGCCGUCAGUUGUUAUGAAUACCAGACGACAAAUAAAUUUUCUUUUAAAAAAAAUAUAAACAACAAUCAGGUGCAGAUCUGGUCAAAGGCAUAGAUAGAAUCUUUAGGAGCGGAUUUUAUAAAAACAUAUAUAGUCCAUCGUCACUCAAUGAACCAAAAUGGCACAAAAGGGCAUGGAAACAACAUCAGCCAAAAAGUUGAUAUAAAUUUACACAAAGGACCCUGACAUUAGCACAACUCCUAAAGAAGUCCUCGCGUAUUACAUAAAGCACCCUGGAACUAAAGAUAAAAAAGCAAUCAAGUCCCUUGGCUUCUUUUCCACUGCAUGCACGCGGCACAUCUCGAACAAGGCCAGCAGGCGGCGGGUGCGUGGCCACCAGGCGGCGUGUGCAGGGCCAGCAGGCGGAGAGUAGCUCCUCGGGCACCCCAUCCGACUCCCGCAGUCGCGCCGCACGGAUCUCACCGGAUCUGGGGCCGGCCACCCCGAGGCCGAGCUGAUGGAGGCGCUGGAGAGGCGAACUGCGAUGGCGUCGGGGAGCUGCUGAGGUCGCCGGAUCUAGAGGGAGGGUGGUGGUGGACGCGGCCGAGGCCGGCCACCCCGAGGCCGAGCUGAUGGAGGCGCUGGAGAGGCGAGCUGCGAUGGCGUCGGGGAGCUGCUGAGGUCGCCGGAUCUAGAGGGAGGGUGGUGGUGGACGCGGCCGAGGCCGGCCACCCCGAGGCCGAGCUGAUGGAGGCGCUGGAGAGGCGAACUGCGAUGGCGUCGGGGAGCUGCUGAGGUCGCCGGAUCUAGAGGGAGGGUGGUGGUGGACGCGGCCGAGGCCGGCCACCCCGAGGCCGAGCUGAUGGAGGCGCUGGAGAGGCGAGCUGCGGUGGCGUCGGGGAGCUGCUGAGGUCGCCGGAUCCAGAGGGUGGGUGGUGGUGGGCNNNAAAAUCCACCACUCAAGUAGGGUGGCUGCUGGUGGGGGAGAUAAGAGAUGGAGACGUGGGGUGGUGGGAUGUGCGUCGGUGGGGUGGGGACUAAGGGUGUGGUAGAUGACGAUGUGUGGUGCGGAUACUGCCACGUCAUCGAUCCACGUGAUCGAUCCGUGUGUGUUGUGCUUCUUAUUUUGCCGUCAUCUAGGUAUUUUACAGACGGCAAAAUUAAUUUGCCGUCAUCUAGGUAUUUUUACAGACGGCAAAAUUAUUUUGCCGUCAUCUAGGUAUUUUUACAGACGGCAAAAUUAUUUUGCCGUCAUCCAGUUAUUUUUACAAACGGCAAAAUACGUCUUUGCCGUCAUCCAGUUAUUUUUACAGACGGCAAAAUAUUUGUUCACCCACGUCCGUGCGUGGUGGGAUGGGGUAGGCUGGUGUGUCUCAGAUCUUGCCACGUCAUCGAUCCGCAUGAUCGAUCCGUGUGUUGUGCUUCUUCUUUGCCGUCAUCACUUUCUAUUACAGACGGCAAAUUAUGUCUUUGCCGUCAUCCGCUUAUUUUUACAGACCGCAAAAUAAUUUUGCCGUCUGUAAUUUUUAUUAUAGACGGCAAAAUGUGUUUACGCCGACAGUCAUUCUUUGCCGUCAUCAGCUGACGGCAACAGACGGCAAAUUAUGUCUUUGCCGUCAUCCACGAAGAAAAGCUGACGGCAAAGAUCUUAAUAGACGGCAAAUAACCUGAUUUCCGUAGUGCAUGCUUUGAAGCCACCGGGCAGGUGAUAUGGUUAAAGAAGUUUAUACCCGACUUGAAAGUGGUAGGUUGUAUUCACAAGCCACUAAAGAUAUACUGUGACAACCAGCCCGCAGUAUUCUAUGCUCACAACAACAAGUCUAGGAAUGCUUCCAAGACAAUAGAUAUAAAGUAUUACAUUGUGAAAGAUAAAAUCCAGGAUCAAACUAUAAGUCUCGAGCAUAUAAGUACGAAGUAUAUGCUUGCGGAUCCGCUAACGAAAGGCUUACAACCCAGCGUGUUCAAGGAACACUUAGCCGGCAUGGGUUUGAUGGAAAGCCUAUGAUUCCUGGAUUAUAAGAGGCCCAAAAGUAAAUGAAUUUGUUUCAGAACAAAAGUGUGUUGUAGCUGUAUGAUUCUAUCGGCAGUUAAGCUGUGACGAUGAGACAUGCUCAACAUGCUUACAUGUGAUGGAACAAAUGAAAAGUAUAAAGUCAAAAGUAAAAGUCGAGAUCAAGGGGGAGAAUAUUAGGUUGAUCUAUCACCGCGUGGGCCCAAUGGCCCACCGGGCCUUGAUCUAUGCACCCUGAUCGGGGGCGUCCAACCCAUUAUGGUUGGUGGGCCCCUGUGACCCGCGCUAUAUAAAGGACGAUGGGGUGCCGGGGCACGAACUACGAGAUUCAUCGCCAUCACAUCCCUACCGACAUACCUAUCCGAUCUAGGUUAAGCGCGGUGCUCACGGGAAGCUCCACCUACGCCUAACCCUUCUUCUCCAUCACCGCCGUCGCUACCACACCGAUGGAGAACGGUGCGAGCUCAUCCGGCUCAGGACAAGGUAAAGUCAUGGUUUUGUACCGGAUCUACCUAUGCCU